UGGGGAAUAUUGCACAAUGGAGGAAACUCUGAUGCAGCAACGCCGCGUGGAGGAUGACACAUUUCGGUGCGUAAACUCCUUUUAUAUGAGAAGAUAAUGACGGUAUCAUAUGAAUAAGCACCGGCUAACUCCGUGCCAGCAGCCGCGGUAAUACGGGGGGUGCAAGCGUUACUCGGAAUCACUGGGCGUAAAGAGCAUGUAGGCUGGUUUGUAAGUUGGAAGUGAAAUCCUAUGGCUUAACCAUAGAACUGCUUCCAAAACUACUUACCUAGAGUAUGGGAGAGGUAGAUGGAAUUUCUGGUGUAGGGGUAAAAUCCGUAGAGAUCAGAAGGAAUACCGAUUGCGAAGGCGAUCUACUGGAACAUUACUGACGCUCAGAUGCGAAAGCGUGGGGAGCAAACAGGAUUAGAUACCCUGGUAGUCCACGCCCUAAACGAUGCACACUAGUUGUUGCCUUGCUAGACAAGGCAGUAAUGCAGUUAACACAGUAAGUGUGCCGCCUGGGGAGUACGGUCGCCA
rnacentral:rRNA from 1 species